UGCAGUCGACGAGAUUUAUCUAGUGGCAAACGGGUGAGUAACGCGUGGAAACCUACCCUUCGGUAAAGAAUAACUUGAGGAAACUCGAGCUAAUACUGUAUAAGCCCUACGGGGGAAAGCUUUAUGCGCCGAUUGAUGGGUCCGCGUUAGAUUAGCUUGUUGGUGAGGUAAAGGCUCACCAAGGCAACGAUCUAUAACUGGUCUGAGAGGAUGGCCAGUCACACUGGGACUGCGACACGGCCCAGACUUCUACGGAAGGCAGCAGUGGGGAAUCUUGCACAAUGGGGGCAACCCUGAUGCAGCGAUACCGCGUGAGUGAAAAAGGUCUUAGGACUGUAAAGCUCUUUCGCUGGGGAAGAUAAUGACUGUACCCAGAGAAGAAGGACCGGCCAACUUCGUGCCAGCAGCCGCGGUAAUACGAAGGGUCCUAGCAUUAUUCGGAAUUACUGGGCGUAAAGCGCAUGUAGUUGGUUUGCUAAGUUGGAUGUGAAAUCCCAAAGCUCAACUUUGGAACUGCAUUCAAUACUAGUAGACUAGAGUUCAGAAGGGGAGAGUGGAAUUCCUAGUGUAGAGGUGAAAUUCGUAGAUAUUAGGAGGAACACCAGUAGCGAAGGCGACUCUCUGGUCUGAUACUGACAAUGAGAUGCGAAAGUGUGAGUAGCAAACAGGAUUAGAUACCCUGGUAGUUCACACCGUAAACGAUGAGUGCUAGAUGUUGGGAGUUUACUCUCGGCGUCGCAGCUAACGCAUAAGCACUC
rnacentral:rRNA from 1 species